UCUUCACCAAACGCAAAUUUUCAACACUCACAAAAAAGCAUUUUCGAUGGAGGUGCCGUAGUCUACGGACCAUGCGUGCCCAUGAGAACGAAAACCGUCAGUUGAGUGGAGAACGGACUCCAGCGAUGGAUCUUGGGUGCGGUCUCUCUCUGCUCGCCAUGAGAGAGAGCGCAAUGAUCCGCCGUACAU
rnacentral:sRNA from 1 species